UCGAACAAACAAUCUUAGACUAGACUGUCGCUGGCUGGCUUUUUCAGCAUGUGCACGUCUUUUCUAUGCUACCACUACACUACACUUGUGCACCUUCUGUAGAUCUUCGCAAGAGGAUCUAUGUCUUCCAUUCACACCGAUCGCAUGUCCACAGAAUGUAAUAAUGAAAUA
rnacentral:misc_RNA from 1 species